GAUGAACGCUGGCGGCGUGCUUAACACAUGCAAGUCGAACGGAAAGGCCAGUGCUUGCACUGGUACUCGAGUGGCGAACGGGUGAGUAACACGUGGGUGAUCUGCCCUGCACUUCGGGAUAAGCCUGGGAAACUGGGUCUAAUACCGGAUAGGACAAUGGUUUGGAUGCCGUUGUGGAAAGUUUUUUCGGUGUGGGAUGAGCUCGCGGCCUAUCAGCUUGUUGGUGGGGUAAUGGCCUACCAAGGCGUCGACGGGUAGCCGGCCUGGGAGGGUGUACGGCCACAUUGGGACUGAGAUACGGCCCAGACUCCUACGGGAGGCAGCAGUGGGGAAUAUUGCACAAUGGGCGCAAGCCUGAUGCAGCGACGCCGCGUGGGGGAUGACGGCCUUCGGGUUGUAAACUCCUUUCGCUAGGGACGAAGCGUAUUUGUGACGGUACCUGGAGAAGAAGCACCGGCUAACUACGU
rnacentral:rRNA from 1 species